UUCCAGUUUUGUCAUUUGGAAUAGCAGAGGCUCGGUUAUGGGCAGCGGAACAGUACUCCACAAAUUCGUAUCCGAUCCCUUUACAGUAGAAGCCAUAGCUUGUCUCCAGGCCUUGAACCUUUCACGUGAAAUGGGGGGAGGGGGAAUUCAAGCUACUACCGCAAACACUGGUAUUGAAAAAGUAUAAGACCUUAUUGAUCAAUCAGCAAAGACUUGGAAAGUGGAACUUAUUAACAGUCUUUUUACCCGGAUGGAAGCUCAUGCAAUCUGUUGUAUUUCUCUUUCAAUUUACACAAUUGAAGAUAAAAUGGUGUGGUGUAUAGAUAACUCUGGUCUGUAUACGGUAUGCAGUGGUUACCGCUGUCUUAUCGAAUCGAAUAUCAACGACACUAUAAGUACCAAUCAUACAAGAUUUUACAGCAGAUUUGGGAGCUACAUCUCCCCCCAAAAAUUAGAAUCGCCAUUUGGUGAUUUAGACAUGAAUACAUUCCUACUGCAACAAAUCUCUACAACAGAAGAAUAAAUUCAUCUCCUAUUUGUCCUAGCUGUGGAAAGGCUCAUGAGAAUUUUAUGCAUAC
rnacentral:lncRNA from 1 species